rnacentral:lncRNA from 1 species
AAUCAGAUUUGGUUAAGACAUACGAUUCAAAUUUUAAACAUAUCAUGUGAUCAAGCAACCAAAUCAGAUUUCAAUCAAUAGCAUGUGAUCAAGGCAAUUUCUAUUUCUAAUAGGAUUUAAUCAUGUGAUUUCAAUUUCCUAGGUCUAAUCGAUUUUUAAUCAAUUAGCAUAUGAAUAAUUUCAAUCUAAUCAUGAAAUUUUAUCCCUAAGUUUCAUAUGAUCAAAUUCUGGAGUUCUAAUUUAAAUUUAUUAAGUUUUAAAUUUUCAGGAAAUUCCAAUAAACAUGCGAUCAAAUUUUAGGUUAAAUUUUAAAUCCUAAUUCUAAUAGGAUUUAGACACA